AACUAACAUCAACUGCUGGGUCAUUAUCACUUUAAAGUGUCUUUGAGACAUCAAAAUUAAAAAAAAAAAAGUUGAGAUUUUUGAUUUGACUACAUUUAGGCUGUAAAAAAUGACUGUUGGUCAAGCUCCUGCAUUUUUCACAAAUUACCUGCAAGCAUACAAACAAUAAACAAACCUAAAAUUGUGCAAACCCUGCUAUAUUUUCAGAAAGGUAAUGUGUCUCUUUAUCAACCCAACAUUUUAGAUAAUGGAAAAGUCUAUUUAUGUUAAUGAAAUAAUGGACAAAGCAUUUAUUUCCCAAUAAAAUAUGCAAUCGUUGCAAAACCCAAAAUCUAAAAUAUUUUGCCCAAACUUUCAAACAGUAUUAACUGGCCCUUACUGAUAAUUUAAGAAAUCACACAAGAUGUUUUUCUGAGGUUAUAAAUAAUUUGUUUAUUUU
rnacentral:lncRNA from 1 species